rnacentral:sRNA from 1 species
UUUUGGCAGGUCUGAUUUAAGAAAAACUGAAGGUGUAUUUUCACAUAGUAUGUCAGUGGUAGACUUCGUAAUUAGACUAAAUCGUGUAUAUUUUUGCAGGAGGAUACAGACCACAAUUACUAUAUAUCUCGAAUAUAUGGUCCAUCUGAUUCUGCCAGCCGGGAUUUAUGGGUGAACAUAGACCAAAUGGAAAAAGAUAAAGUGAAGAUUCAUGGAAUAUUGUCCAAUACUCAUCGGCAAGCUGCAAGAGUGAAUCUGUCCUUUGAUUUUCCAUUUUAUGGCCACUUCCUACGUGAAAUCACUGUGGCAACCGGGGGUUUCAUAUACACUGGAGAAGUCGUACAUCGAAUGCUAACAGCCACACAGUACAUAGCACCUUUAAUGGCAAAUUUCGAUCCCAGUGUAUCCAGAAAUUCAACUGUCAGAUAUUUUGAUAAUGGCACAGCACUUGUGGUCCAGUGGGACCAUGUACAUCUCCAGGAUAAUUAUAACCUGGGAAGCUUCACAUUCCAGGCAACCCUGCUCAUGGAUGGACGAAUCAUCUUCGGAUACAAAGAAAUUCCUGUCUUGGUCACACAGAUAAGUUCAACCAAUCAUCCAGUGAAAGUCGGACUGUCCGAUGCAUUUGUCGUUGUCCACAGGAUCCAACAAAUUCCCAAUGUUCGAAGAAGAACAAUUUAUGAAUACCACCGAGUAGAGCUACAAAUGUCAAAAAUUACCAACAUUUCGGCUGUGGAGAUGACCCCAUUACCCACAUGUCUCCAGUUUAACAGAUGUGGCCCCUGUGUAUCUUCUCAGAUUGGCUUCAACUGCAGUUGGUGUAGUAAACUUCAAAGAUGUUCCAGUGGAUUUGAUCGUCAUCGGCAGGACUGGGUGGACAGUGGAUGCCCUGAAGAGUCAAAAGAGAAGAUGUGUGAGAAUACAGAACCAGUGGAAACUUCUUCUCGAACCACCACAACCGUAGGAGCGACAACCACCCAGUUCAGGGUCCUAACUACCACCAGAAGAGCAGUGACUUCUCAGUUUCCCACCAGCCUCCCUACAGAAGAUGAUACCAAGAUAGCACUACAUCUAAAAGAUAAUGGAGCUUCUACAGAUGACAGUGCAGCUGAGAAGAAAGGGGGAACCCUCCACGCUGGCCUCAUCGUUGGAAUCCUCAUCCUGGUCCUCAUUGUAGCCACAGCCAUUCUUGUGACAGUCUAUAUGUAUCACCACCCAACAUCAGCAGCCAGCAUCUUCUUUAUUGAGAGACGCCCAAGCAGAUGGCCUGCGAUGAAGUUUAGAAGAGGCUCUGGACAUCCUGCCUAUGCUGAAGUUGAACCAGUUGGAGAGAAAGAAGGCUUUAUUGUAUCAGAGCAGUGCUAAAAUUUCUAGGACAGAACAACACCAGUACUGGUUUACAGGUGUUAAGACUAAAAUUUUGCCUAUACCUGUAAGACAAACAAACACACACACACACAAACAAGCUCUAAGCUGCUGUAGCCUGAAGAAGACAAGAUUUCUGGACAAGCUCAGCCCAGGAAACAAAGGGUAACAAAAAACUAAAACUUAUACAAGAUACCAUUUACACUGAACGUAGAAUUCCCUAGUGGAAUGUCAUCUAUAGUUCACUCGGAACAUCUCCCGUGGACUUAUCUGAAGUAUGACAAGAUUAUAAUGCUUUUGGCUUAGGUGCAGGGUUGCAAAGGGAUCAGAAAAAAAAAAAUCAUAAUAAAGCUUUAGUUCAUGAGGGAUCGACACCUUUGGUUCAAAUGUUCUCUGAUGUCUCAAAGAUAACUGUUUUCCAAAGCCUGAACCCUUUCACUCAAAAGAGCAAUGAUGAAUGUCUCAAGAUUGCUAAGAAAAACAGCCCAUGCAAGAGUCAGAACAAACACAAAAUAAGAGAUUUUCUACAUUUUCAAAA